rnacentral:rRNA from 1 species
UACGUAGGGGGCUAGCGUUGUCCGGAAUCAUUGGGCGUAAAGAGCGUGUAGGCGGCCCGGUAAGUCCGCUGUAAAAGUCAAAGGCUCAACCUUUGAAUGUCAGUGGAUACUGCCGGGCUAGAGUCCGGAAGAGGCGAGUGGAACUCCUGGUGUAGCGGUGGAAUGCGCAGAUAUCAGGAAGAACACCAACGGCGAAGGCAGCUCGCUGGGUCGGUACUGACGCUGAGACGCGAAAGCGUGGGGAGCGAACAGG